GAUGAACGCUGGCGGCGUGCCUAAUACAUGCAAGUCGAGCGAACAGACGAGGAGCUUGCUCCUCUGACGUUAGCGGCGGACGGGUGAGUAACACGUGGAUAACCUACCUAUAAGACUGGGAUAACUUCGGGAAACCGGAGCUAAUACCGGAUAAUAUAUUGAACCGCAUGGUUCAAUAGUGAAAGACGGUUUUGCUGUCACUUAUAGAUGGAUCCGCGCCGCAUUAGCUAGUUGGUAAGGUAACGGCUUACCAAGGCAACGAUGCGUAGCAGACCUGAGAGGGUGAUCGGCCACACUGGAACUGAGACACGGUCCAGACUCCUACGGGAGGCAGCAGUAGGGAAUCUUCCGCAAUGGGCGAAAGCCUGACGGAGCAACGCCGCGUGAGUGAUGAAGGUCUUCGGAUCGUAAAGCUCUGUUAUUAGGGAAGAACAGAUGUGUAAGUAACUAUGCGCGUCUUGACGGUACCUAAUCAGAAAGCCACGGCUAACUACGUG
rnacentral:rRNA from 1 species